AGCAGACUAUUAAAAAGCUUGAGAAUGACAUGAAGAAUAUAUACUUUAAAAUAUAUAUCUCAAAUGAUAUAACUUAAUUUCAAGGAUGAAAUUAUUUGAAGAGGGGAGAAUGUAAUAUUCGGCCCAUUUAGGCUUUGGACCAGGCCCAAAUCUAAGAAGCCCAAAGCCCAUACCAAAAAAAAAAAUCAGAAUGGGAAGAAGACUUCGAUUGGAGUCUUCUUCUCCGAUGAAUCCCGAACGAAAAAGGAUUCUAGGAUCCUUAAAACUCUAUGGUCCUCUAUAAAUAAGACUCCCCUCUCCCUC
rnacentral:lncRNA from 1 species